AGCACGUUAUGGUGGGCGACUCUAAGGAGGAACUGCCGGUGGACAAACCGGAGGAAGGUGGGGAGUGACGUCAAGUCAUCAUGGCCCUUACGGCCUGGGCUACACACGUGCUACAAUGGUCGGUACAAAGGGUUGCCAAGCCGCGAGGUGGAGCUAAUCCCAUAAAACCGAUCGUAGUCCGGAUCGCAGUCUGCAACUCGACUGCGUGAAGUCGGAAUCGCUAGUAAUCGUGAAUCAGAAUGUCACGGUGAAUACGUUCCCGGGCCUU
rnacentral:rRNA from 1 species